rnacentral:rRNA from 1 species
UACAGAGGGUGCAAGCGUUGUUCGGAAUUAUUGGGCGUAAAGAGCGUGUAGGCGGCCAGACAGGUCCGUUGUGAAAACUUGAGGCUCAACCUCGAGACGCCGAUGGAAACCGUCUGGCUAGAGUCCGGAAGAGGAGAGUGGAAUUCCUGGUGUAGAGGUGAAAUUCGUAGAUAUUAGGAAGAACACCAGUGGCGAAGGCGGCUCACUGGCCCGGUACUGACGCUGAGGCGCGAAAGCGUGGGGAGCAAACAGGG